rfam:Stegodyphus mimosarum contig17247, whole genome shotgun sequence.
GCCAUCGUGGUGUAGUGGUCAGCACGCUCGACGCGUAACCGAGAGGUCCGUGGUUCGAUUCCCGGCGAAUUCG